rnacentral:piRNA from 1 species
AAGGUUUUGCUUUAUCCCCAGGAUGGAC